CCAGCUGAAAGGUAGCAUGCGUGCCGUGAGACCAUUUUUGUCUCAAUAGAUCAAAAGGUCUUUAUAUGCGUGCGGGCUCUCUUCCUUUCUUUUAUCUAGCUUAGUCCUCCAUAUAAUUGCAUGCCAGGCCCUUCAAAUUUGGUCAUGUACAAUCUGAUCCUUCAAUUUUGAUUAUCAUAUCAAUUUUGCCCUCCAAAAUUGCAACCCAUUGUUCUCCAACUUUCUGACUUAUGCACUUUGUUGUUAAAUGAUUUUUCUUCGAUGGAUAAAGAAAUGCAAUGCAGAUACUUAAUUGGAUGAUUUCUAUUUUCUACGUCACCCCUGGUUUGCUUUAACUGAUUACUGUUUGCUUACGAAUUCUCUUGUUUAUUAGUUUUCUUUUUGUUGAUUCUGCAAUUUGCCUUUUUUACUGCUUUGUGUCUAUUUUAUCAGCCAAUUGUUCCACCAAUCUUGUACUCCUUUUCUGAUCAAGAUAGUAGAGUUCGUUAUUAUGCCUGUGAAGCUUUGUACAACAUAGCAAAGGCGAGGGACUAAACACGAAUCUAGUAAUUUAUGUUUUUCUUCUUUAUGCAUAUCAAUUUUGGAUUUCGUUCAUUCUUGCUAAUUUGCAGGUUGUGAGAGGAAAUGUUUUAGUGCUCUUCAAUCAGAAUUUUGAAGCCCUGUAUAAGCUUUCCACUGAUUCAGAUCCCAUUGUACAAAGCGCUGCUUCCCUAGACAGGCUUGUAAAGGAUACUGCCACAGAGGGUGAUCUGCUCAGGUACUAUAUCGAUAUCCUAAUAUUGAUUUAAUAUGCAGGAAGGUGAGUUGGAGGUGAAUUUGAGCAUCCUUCCCAAAUACAGGUUUGAGACCUUUAAGGAUGAGGGCAAGCUAGGCGUUGAAGCUGGCAGAAUGGUUCCAAUCCGGUACACAGCAAAGGAGCGAAUACUUCAACGUGGAGAUUCAGUAAGUUCCCUAUGUUUUGACUAGUAAUAUAGUUUGAUUUUGCUGUAGAGUUUUUCAGACUCGGGUAAAGAGCCCAACCAGGAAAAUUCCUAGGUUUGAUUCCUACUGGAUGCACUUGGAAGGUUCUGUUCAAUCGCAGCUCGCGAAAUUGUUACAUAUAGCUCGCCCUUAUGGGGCACUUCACUCGGUAGGGAAAGAAAAAUGAUAGAUGACUGAAAAUCCCGCUUAGAAAUCGCAGCUGUAGUCAGAGUAGUAGUUCUCAUCCAUCAUCUCCGUCGUGGCCUCCUUUUACCUGCCAGUACUUUUUUUACCGGAGGUAAUUCCUAGUGUUUCUUGGGAAAUCGCCUCAUUCUGGUUCAGAUGAACAGUUAGCAAAUGAAAAUGGAUACAUCAUCCAUUUAAGAAUUUUCAUGUCGGCAUUACAAAUUUAUUUGUGAAUAGUCACACCUUAUAGUUUUCCCUUCUUGCGGGAAUGCUGCAUAUAAGGAUGCAGUAGCGAUCCGGGCUAUUCACUGCACUCAUCAUUUUCAUUCGUCGUCUAUUGUGAAAUGGCUCAAGAUGGAGGCACACUGUCCGGUCUGCAAGCGUGACAUCCACAAGGGGAAAGACCAUGAGUAAACAAAGCGAAGAAAAUCACUUCAACUUGUACUUUCGCUUGUCUAAUCAAGGCAGGAAAUUUUACAUCCCAUCCCUGUAAAAUUUUAUGAUUCCAUUGCUAGGGUAAGAAUGGUGAUCGAAGUACCCAGGUAUUUGUGUAUAUUGUGGCAACUUUUUGCAAUAUGCCUUCGGAAGUUUUUGAAAGUCACUGCUUUCUGAAUGAAAUAUGUGAAACGCAGUAGCCAGGAAUUCUUGA